GGAGCAGAGAGAGGGUUGGAAGACGUGGAAAUGCUGUGACCUAUUAAAAGCCGAUCUAUUCUGUUCAAUUUGGCUCUUUAAUAGCUUGAAGUAGAAUUUUUGGAUGAGGGUACAUCCUGUCAUGUGAGGCUAAUCUCCAAUCAGCCUUUAUUUGUCUUUCUAAUCUUUGCUAUCUGUGCACACCAGCAGAAUUAUUUGGCAUGACAACACAGAAUUACCCUUGCACAUCUUAGUAAAUGUGAAUCGUUUGGCUUGUAAUCCUUUGACAUUCAUGUUGAAGUCACCUUGAACCAACAUAAUGAGCAAAUCCCUGCCUGCAACAAUCGCUUUGUAGGUUCAUGCAAAUCAGUAACCGUGCCAAGAAACGAUUCGGAGUAUCAAAGGUGAUCUGGAGCAGGUGCAAGGCAAGUUUAUUUGUAUAGCACUGUUCAUACAGGUUAAUUUAAAGUAAUCAUAAUAAUAAAAACUUCAUUUUUAACCACAGAAGUUUACAAAGACACUUGGCUUACUUUGUUAAAGUGGUUUAACGGUUACAGGGUCUGUAAGAUCCCUUAGCUUCCCCCAUCAUUGUUGACCCGGCUCUUUAGCUCUUGUCUGGGUCAGAGAUGCCACUUGUGAGAUGAUAUUAGUGGGCGGGGGUGUCUGUUUCUUGACUGCAUACAGGAUGUGUAAAAAUCUGAAUUCCUCAGUCAGAGGAAGCUGCCUUUGUUGUAAGCUGCUGACUCCUUGCAAGUAAAAGAUAUCCAAGAAAAAGAAGUCCACUAUCUCUGUCGUUCUUCUCAGCUGGCUGCAAGUCAGAUGCAGUUUAAUUUUUCUGACAUGUAUACAAUACAAAAAAGAUGCUUCUUUAACGGAUUCCUGCCUACCCCACCUUUGAAACAAUUUAAAAUCAAAAAGACACAAAAUGAUUAAAAAUCAAUGAGACAAACAGACAACUUUUUUUGUUUUGUCUGUUCCAUGUUUGCCCUGAACACCAUGAAAACCAUUGUUUCCCAGAAAAACUAAAUAAGUUACAAGCUUUUAGACGAUAAUUAGUUUUCUCUUCGUCUGUUUCGGCUCUGAUGAGAUUAUAAACUGGAGAGUCCUGGUUUUCUAGACCUUUCUUGCAGUUACUUUAGACAAAAAAAAAAAAAAACUGAUGUUACCGUAAAGAAAAAGAAAAAGCAUUUUUCUAUCGCUGUUGGAAAUUUCUAUGAAAAUAAAAAUUAAAAAGUGUCCCAAUAAUCAGCAAAAGUCAGCUGUUAAACAAGAAUGAUCGUUUUUAAAGGCGUCACAGAUAAUCGUCUCCAUUUCUAGAAGAGUAUUCAGUCCCUACUAAAGUCAACUUUCUCAAGUAUGACCAGAUCAUGGCAUUACCUUGUUCAUGUUGCAUUUACUCUUGACUCUUUUGUUUAUGGAUCAACUUUCACCUCGCCGUUCUCCUCCUCUGCCCUCCACUCCUUCUCCAUUGUCAGGUCACCUUAUGGGCAUGAAGAAUGUGAGGCCAGUCGGUUGUUACUCUUCCUCUCCACUUGACAAAUGAAGUUGUCACUUUCCUCAAGUAUGACUGGCCGUUUCAGGCUGCACAGCAUUAAUAUUUCUUUUGCCACCUGUGCCUUCAAGCUGUCCUUUGAUAAUACCCCCCUCCCUCCUCAACAUCUGGCCAGAAGAGUCACCAGCAGGGGGUGGUGUUUGCCCUCAUAAUGUCAAAUAAAUCAAUCUUGCAAACCGACUUCCUUCCCGGGUUAGCAUUUCAUUACAAAGUCUGUCUGAGUGAGAGGAUUUUCAGGGCCAGCCUUGCUUGUUACCCUGAAUUGUAACUCGUGGAUGAUGCUAAGCUGUCCGUCUCCUUUGACAAAAGCUUAUUUUCCCUCUCAGCAAAUGGUUUGAGGAUUGAGAUGAGACUUUGAAGCCACAAACACACAACCAAGCUCUUAAUGAACAGCCUGGUGAGGGGCUUUUGUUCCACUGGUUGGUUGUUGGGCAGAGCGGGCUGGUUGGUGAAGAGUCUGCGGGGAUGUGGGAGAUGUGAGGGGUUUUGAUGUCGAGUCAUUUAUUCCAGUCUUUGCUCCCAGAGGCACUCGGGUAGCAGCAUUUAUUCAGCUGUUGUUCGAUUGUUGUUGCCUCCAAUCGGCCCUGUCAUAUAUGUCUUUGUGGUAUGCAUUAUUUGCGCCUUUUAGGGUAUGCUUGUCCCGUCUUUAAAGGCAUGUGUGUGCAUAUGCGUGUUACACUGCACUUCAACUUCAAAGGCAGGCUUUAAGAAAGCUCCUCUGUGCUGUCUCAUGUCCCUUUAAUGAGGAGGUUUCAUCCUCCCCAAGACUUUGUGGAUAACAAGACACAGUUUGUGGAGAGGGGCGAUAUGUAUAUACGCUUGUUUGUAGUGUUAGUAUUACAGAUCGUACAAUUUCACAGCAGAGUAGUUUAAGAAAUAAAUCAUUGACUUUAUGUAUCAUAAGCCACCGUGCCGCAAUAAUUUCAGGAAAUUGGGUCCUUCUUAACUUUAUAGGCAAUGUUCUUUAUUCCUCAGUCAGAGGACUAUUCCUGAAUACAUUUGGAGUGAGAAAUAGGUCACGCAGUUUCACAGUCAUGCUUCGUUUAAAGUUGAAUGCGUCAGUCUGAAACGCUGAGAUUAAAAGAAAAAAAAAAAGUUGUUCAUGACUUUCAGAGAGGCUGUGUCGCAGCAUCAUGCAAGUAGCUCCUGAGUGUUCACUGAUCUGUUGGGCUCCACAUGACAAGCUUCAGUGAUGAUAUAGGUGUUGUUUUUUCACUGAAGCAGAGUUUUCACAAAAUCAUCACAAAAUGACAAUUUACAGUUUAAAACGGUCCUACUGACUCCAAACCCUCAUGAUUGUAAUAGAUGUCACAUGUCAUGACUUGGUUUGGUCUUACCCUCACUUGAAAGAUGACUUGACAACAAUUUUUAGACAUCUUGCUUGGGCCUUGGGGAAACUACCAAUUUUAGGGCAUAACCAGGCCAUGAAGCAACAUGAAGGUCAAUGAGAGACAGCAUUGCAUGUGCAUCCUUGUCAGUGUGUGGAUAGAUGCAGCUAGAGUUGAUAUUUCCAGUUGCUCCAAAAGCCUCUCUACAGCUGAAAGACCUCAUGAUGUCCCCGGAUCUUGGGGAAAUUAUGUACAGUCGUACAAUGAUGAUAGAAAACCAUCAGUUAUGACUGAUUUCAUAUAUUCACAUUCACACACGACAGACUGUUUCUGCCAAGUAGUUCAGUUUAGUCGCAGGUAUUUGUGUUUUCACUGUCAAAAAACGAAUCCAUUCCACCCUCCUUUUUUGGCACCCUUCUGUUGGGGUACCUAGCCUACCUAUUCUAAGUUUAUCUUUUUUAAUUUGCUUCGUUAUUUAGUUUAUAUGUUAAUAAAAUGUUGGAGUAAUCUAGGAUGACCAUACGUCCUCUUUUAUCCGGACAUGUCCUCUUUUUUGGGGGGCUGUCCGGCCUUCGUCCGACUUUGUCCGCGGGAGUUUAUAAAAUCCUUCAAAUGUCUGGGGUUCUGUAUAGAAGCUUUGAGUUUGUGUUGUGUGGACUUACUGAGUUAGAAGUGUGUAAAAAACACUGGCUUCGACCCUAAAAACUCUCAGUACGCGUGACUCUGUGACUAUGACCCCGCUAUGUCAUGUCCUCUUUUUGGGGAUUCAGAAUAUGGUCACCCUCACUAAUCUCUAGUGUCUUUGUUUUUUUGGUACAGAUGCUUUAAAGCUGGCAGUUAAAAAAAAAAAAAAGUGAUAAUAAUCGAGAUCGGACAGUGUGACAAAAUAUAUCAUCCAGUCCUAUUUUCAACCCCAAAUGGUUAAACUAUGGGGGUAGUUUCAAGAGAUUAUGGUUUGCUGUGGGAAUGCAGGCAAGAUCAGUGUUUACUUAACCAAACCAUGCCAAGGUGUACCAAAUCAAUCAGACCCUCAGUGGAAUAGCAUCAUAUCUGACUCGAAAGACUACAAUCCCUACCUAGUGAGGGCACAGUUGGCUUUGGAAAUUCAAGCGAGAUCUGUACCAAGCCACACCUAACUUUACUCAUCGUAUUUUGUCACUAUUUUGGAGUCCCAUUAUUCCUAGCUGCUGUACUCAGGUGACAACGCCAGCUUUAAACUGUCUAAUAUUUCCAAGUAAUCAUUUUAGAUCCUGCAGUAAACUUAGUAAAGAGCAUCAGGGGGGCGCUGAGGGUCAGGGGUUAGGACAGACAGUGACUCACCUCAUCGUGGACCAGCUCCAUCACAAAUCCAACAAUGAGCCUUUUUCGCUUCAACAACCUCAAGAUACUCAUUACAAAUUUUACAUCAUGUUCCACACGCAAUACAUCUGUGUACCUACUUUAUUGAAAAUGCCAUCAUAUUUUAAUUAUUAACUGUAUUGUAGUUCCAGAUGCGAAUACAAGGCAGAAAACCUGAUUCUGAUCCAAAAGUGAUCCAAGGUUUUAGUUUUGAUGGUGUGAAGCAAACGUUAGCUGCCUAACUGGAUUAAACAUGAGGUAGAUGGCAGCAGAUUUCUAUUAUAUGGUAAGGUUAUUCUUUUCCCCUCCCCUCUGGAUGACAUAAGGAGAAGUCUUUGGAGAUGUAUGGGAAUAUGUACAGGAAUCUAUAGUAAGUGCUUCCCCUGGUAAAUGGCUGCUUUUACAGGAACAGCAUGUAACAGCAUGUUUAAGUAUAAAUUGCCUAAGUGAGCCUCCAUUAGAUUCCUAUCAAGAGCCUAUUUCCAUUACUUAUAGGGUGCAUUGAUCAGAUUCUGGCAAAGCGUGUCCCAUCAGCAUUUCUCCUGAGUCAGCUGUGUGUGUAUGAGUGUGUGUGUGUGAGUAAGUGUGUGUGUUUGAGUGUGUGAAGCAGUGUUACUUUUGUCAGAUCACACAAACACUACUGGCCAAUCAAUCGGGGUAAAUUAAUCACAUGUUCUUGCGUGUUUGUGCACACAACCUUGACCAAUAACAAUGCAACUUCUAAAUCGUUAACCUUCAGGUAACAUCUCUGUAAACUCUGAAGACACUGUAAGUUUUAUUUAAAAAGAGGAGAUUUACUUUAACUUUUUGUUCUUUGGAACACUGUGCUCCCAAAAUCUUCCCCAA